rnacentral:rRNA from 1 species
CUUGCUCCUGGAUUCAGCGGCGGACGGGUGAGUAAUGCCUAGGAAUCUGCCUGGUAGUGGGGGACAACGUUUCGAAAGGAACGCUAAUACCGCAUACGUCCUACGGGAGAAAGCAGGGGACCUUCGGGCCUUGCGCUAUCAGAUGAGCCUAGGUCGGAUUAGCUAGUUGGUGAGGUAAUGGCUCACCAAGGCGACGAUCCGUAACUGGUCUGAGAGGAUGAUCAGUCACACUGGAACUGAGACACGGUCCAGACUCCUACGGGAGGCAGCAGUGGGGAAUAUUGGACAAUGGGCGAAAGCCUGAUCCAGCCAUGCCGCGUGUGUGAAGAAGGUCUUCGGAUUGUAAAGCACUUUAAGUUGGGAGGAAGGGCAGUAAAUUAAUACUUUGCUGUUUUGACGUUACCGACAGAAUAAGCACCGGCUAACUCUGUGCCAGCAGCCGCGGUAAUACAGAGGGUGCAAGCGUUAAUCGGAAUUACUGGGCGUAAAGCGCGCGUAGGUGGUUUGUUAAGUUGGAUGUGAAAUCCCCGGGCUCAACCUGGGAACUGCAUCCAAAACUGGCAAGCUAGAGUAUGGUAGAGGGUGGUGGAAUUUCCUGUGUAGCGGUGAAAUGCGUAGAUAUAGGAAGGAACACCAGUGGCGAAGG